rnacentral:lncRNA from 10 species
UUGUGACAAGAUGAGUUUUUACAAUCUGGGGCUUGGAAGUCCUCAACAAAUGUAUAAGAGGUUGGAACUUCUUUCUUCACUGUUCUAUGUUUUUCAUUCACCAAGGAGAUAAUCCAAGAAAAUCAUCAUAUAUUUCAUGAAUUGGAUGACUUCCCUUUGCUGACUCAUGGCUGUCCUAACUUCUUGCUCCUAGAUUAAAACAAAAUUAGGUGUCAAUCAGGACAGCAAGCACAUCUUAAAGAAAAGGAGACAUACUCAUAGAGGGAAGAAUCAUUUGUGGUCACAUGGCUUAAAAGGGCAGAACUGGGACUAAAAUUCAAAUAUGGCUAAAAUGACACCUUUUAAUCUUAUGUCACUAUAGAGAGACAGUACUUGGGGAGGACAGCUUGGCAUGGUUUCUAACGCAAGGAGACCAAGGCAAGAAAGUUCCCAGGGGUAUUUCCCCUGUGAAAUUGCUCACACCAGGAGCAAAGGCUGUCCAGGGAGCCCCAUAAGCUGAUAGUGAUGGAGCCCAUCAGUUCAGUGUCUGAUUGAGGAAGAGCAUUUAAUAAACAUGAGGAGAAAGACCAAGGAUUCCAAUGUUUAAUUAUCUGCCCAAUGAUUGAAAAUCUAAUUUAGUUUUUUUUAUGUUUAUUUGUGAAGGCUUCUGUGUUUCCAAGCAAGAAAAAGCUUUAGAGUUCAGGGAUUCAAUGUAGGUAAAUUCAUUAAAGUGCUUAUUAAUCUACACAUCUUAGUAGCUUACUAUUCAAUCAGUUGUCAAUGCCUCUCAAUUCCAGAAAUGAAACAAAAAACUGGGAAAACAAUAUUAUAAAUUUGUCACGUUACACGAAAGGUAGUAAUAUAUUAAUUGAUCAUCAGUUAUAAUCCAAACAAUUUAUUUUAUUUUGUUUAAUCCUAUUUUAUUUUAUUUUAGAAUUAGGUACAAUGAUAAUGUAUUUCACAUGGAAUAUAAAAGGCCAAGGACAUACAUCUUUGGCAGUGUCACAGACUAAGUGGCCACAGAUGCCUCAGUCAGUACACAAAACCUCCUACACUGAUUUUUUUAAAAUGUACCUACAAAAGAUCAGAAAAAGAUUCAGAGGCCUGAGAUAUGCAAAAGUAAAAAUUAAAAGGGUAAAUGAGAGCAUUAUAGACAAUUUUUUACUAAAACCAUCUGCCAUUUACUGGAGACUUAAACCCUGAGUUUUAAGGGAACUUUUGAGCUAAAGAAAAGAAAAAAGCCUAAAGUUUAGUCCUGUGAGGAUAAAUACAUCAUCUGAAUUAAGACAAGAACUUAAAAAGAAACAACAAUCACUGGAUGAACCAGAAGGAAAAUUAUCCACAGAGAUCUUUGAGAGGUUCAAAACCACAUCUAUAUUGAUGUCUACAUCUUGUCCAUCAAAAUAUAAUAAAUCAGAAGGGUUGUGAUCAGAAUUAAAGUUCAUUAAUAUGCUUCAGGGAUCAUUUUUUUCCUCAGAGAAGUGAAUAUAUUGAUUAUACUUUGUUAACUUAAAUAUGAAUGUUGUAAUUUCUUAGAUAACCACUAAAAGAACAGAAGACUGUAUAACUUUUAACUUAGUAAAGUAGAAAAAUGACCUCAUUCUAAAAGAAAGAAGAAAAAAAGAAAUAAAAGUAUAGAAAAUUGGGAUAAAUGGAAAACAAUAAAAUAGGUAUGACUUUAACUGCUUCAGUAAUCAUAAUCAAUGUAAAUAGAUUUCUCUUUGCAUUUAAUAAUUUAAAAUGUAUAAAAUGUAUUUUUAAAAACUCCACCUGUACACUGUUUACAAGAAAAAACCUACAAAACAAAUGUAUCCACAGAUUGAAAGGCCAUAAUGGAAAAAUAUAACAGGAAAAUAUUAAUAGCCUUAUAGCUUAACAUUGCUGUUAAAAUUUCAGACAAUUUUGGAAAUAAGGUUAAAAAGAG